AACACCGUGGUGUAGCGGUCAAUCAAACACGUCUGACCCGGUUUGUCAGAAGACGUGGGUUCGAAUCCCAUCGGUGGCG